AGCAAAGGGGACUCUUGAUUUUAUCUAUGUUCUCCUUGGUGGUCUAAUAGAUGUGGGGCUUCUCUCUCACUCAUUUCCCAUGUUAAGGGCUAUAAUUGGAGCCAGCUGGGGUUAGUCUAACUCAAGACAGAGACUUUAAGGAAUAUUCCCAAGCAGUUGACGAAACUCCUUUUGUUUUGGGGAAAUUCCCUAUCUUCUCUGGCCCAACUUAGACUGCUUAGCCCCUCCCUCCUUGCUGGUGGGAAAGCAUGGCGUCUGCUCCUCUGUUGCGGGUGAUGAGCUCUGAAACCAGGAAUCCUUUCUCUGCCUCCUGGCAGCACUUUGUUUCUUCUGUCUCCCCCUUCUCCUGUUUUGUGCACCAACGUGUGUGCAGCCUGCAUGACUAGCCUCUAGACCAUGCACCAUGGCUCCUUCUCUCUUCACUGUCAAGGAGCAAAAAGAGCAGCCCCCCGACCUAACACCCCGCACUCUGGAUCUUCCCACCCGUGUCUCAGACCAAGAAAACUUUUUUCUUAAGAUGUCUGUGACUUACAGAAAUGGAAAAAUAUUUAUUUGCAAAUGAAUCAAGGCAUUCAACUUUUCUCUCUACCUGAAUCCUCUGAAACCAAAAGGUCUCACAUUUACUCCUCGGUUGAAUCCACCGCUCUGCACUCCACCGGGACAGAGCCCAGGCUGGACUGCCAGGCAGAGCUCCUUUUCCUUUUGCGGGCUCCCUGCCUCCCUGUUGAAGCAGAGGGUGGUUGCUAAUUGGGCCCUGAGAAGUCAUCAGUAGGAGCCUCAUGGCUCAUCUGUUCAAAGCAAAGUGGAUUUGUUCGUCUGGGCAGUUCCUAAGUGUCUUGGUUCGUUGGACCUCCCUAAUGACUCGGAUGAAAUAAUGUAGUUUUCUGGGCUCUGAGGAAUUCUGAGGCCUCCAGCUUUUAAAUCAACUGCAAAGUACUCUUUAGGUACUUGAACGCAUGACAUAUUUUGUGUUACUGUUUUCGUGGGCCACCCACUUGGGCUCAUUCUACUGAGCAUGCCCAGCUGAGAGGGACAUGCUGCCCCCCUUUCCAUGGCUGUUGAGAAGGAGAAGCCGGAUAAAUUGAGAAAGCCGUAGUGUCAAAUAAAUGAGUGCCAUGGAAAAGCUCAGCAAUGCUAAGAGGACGCCAACCUUUUUGUGAGUAAGUAGAAAUCCGUUAAUAUCGAUGGGGGGUUUAUAGUGUCAGGGGGCUCUCCGGUGUGUAUCCCAGGCAUCUGCUAAUGGCAGGAAGAUGCAUGAUUACCAGCAUCUCUGAAAUGUGGGCGCCUCAUGAUUUAGGUGAUGUCUUGGCUGAUGAUAUUUGCAAGGGUCCUCGC
rnacentral:lncRNA from 1 species